ACAGCAGCCGCCGCGGGAAUACAGAGGGUGCAAGCGUUAAUCGGAAUUACUGGGCGUAAAGCGCGCGUAGGUGGUUUGUUAAGUUGGAUGUGAAAUCCCCGGGCUCAACCUGGGAACUGCAUCCAAAACUGGCAAGCUAGAGUAUGGUAGAGGGUGGUGGAAUUUCCUGUGUAGCGGUGAAAUGCGUAGAUAUAGGAAGGAACACCAGUGGCGAAGGCGACCACCUGGACUGAUACUGACACUGAGGUGCGAAAGCGUGGGGAGCAAACAGGAUUAGAUACCCCCGUAGUCCCUGUCUCUUAUAC
rnacentral:rRNA from 1 species